rnacentral:lncRNA from 1 species
CUAUUUGCUUUCUCUGAAUCUGUAUCAGUUCAUGCAGUUCUGCCAAGUGGGGAAGCUUUGCAGGACACUGCCACUGUAGCACUUGAAAUAUUAAGAUGAACAGAACAAGCAAAAGCCAAAAGAAUUACACAAAUGUCCCUCUGUGGGUCCUCUGAAGAUCUCGGCAUUCCCUGUGCUGCAAGGCGGGCUGGUAACCACUAGAGGGGAGGAGACAGCCGGAUUUAUUGAAGGCCUCACCACAGAAACUGAUGGUGGGGAAGCUGUCAGAGGACGAGAUGCCAAGCAAAAGGGUUUAAGUAUAUUAUAAAGGUCCCCAAAAAUGGAAAAAAAAAUAGGCUUCUUAAAGUAUGCAAGAAAUUUGCUUCUAAUAAAUUUGAAAUGACUGGGAAGGUAGUUAGAAUGCUAGAAUGUGGUUACCUGUUAACCCGUAGUCUUAAGCAUUAGCAAGAUGAUCUAUGAAAUCAGAGUUAACCCUUAUGAAAAUAAAUGGCUCUCUCCUUAGGCCUAUAGCUAAUGCACAUACAAGUUAGGAAAAGUAGCUAUAGGGGAAGGAUGAGGGAGGGAAUCAAAGAUGAUUUGGCUGUUCAGGGUAAAGUGGAAACUCAGCGUAUAGCUCAUUUUCUAAAGUAUUCUAACACCUGCCCCCUCUUCCCAUCACUUUAAAUCCCUUCACUCCAUUGCUAAAAGGGGAAUAGAGAAAGAGACAUCACAGAUAGUAAAAUAUUGAUAUAGUAAACAAAGAGAGAGGGGGCAGAGGAGAGAAACUUUAUUUAACCUUCCUGAUCAUUCCAAAGUACAAUAUCCUAAUGCGGGUAACUUAAAUAAAAAAUAGUCAUCCAGGAUUUAUGAGGUAGCAUAUAUACCAUGUGAGCAUUAUUUUUGUUGAUUUUUAAAAUCCAACUUGACCUUUUUAAUCUUUCAUUUAAAAAAAUAAAAUAUACUUAAUAUUAGUAUUGUUAAAGCACUAUAAUGUAGAACUAGAGGUUGUUCUAUGUACUCUCCUGAGUGUAAUUGCACUAAGAUCAUUCAGUUUCCAUUUGGAAAGCCAGUGGCAAUUACUGGAAUACAAUGUAUCAUGCAUUUGCUCACUGGAUAUAAAAUGUAUAUACUAAUUCGCAAUAAAAUGUAACAGCUGUCAGUGCAUUUUCUGCUCUGUUACUUCAAUAAAUUGGAACUCUGACUAGAAAAUGGGAAUAUUGCAUUUUUACACACUCUGUAAUGUGUUUGCUUUUUGCAAAUACAAUUUAUUUUUUUCAUGGCAAAAAUUGUGGUUUGUUAUUACUGCUAGUGGAUAAAUAUUCCUAUAUCAGAAUGAAUUACAUAUGGUAUCUGUAAAGAAGUAGUAAUAUUUUCUGCUUUUUAUUGUAGCCUGUCUCCAGUAAACAAAAUACACUUAACCUACUUCUGUCACAC